rnacentral:rRNA from 1 species
AGUGAACGCUGGCGGUAGGCCUAACACAUGCAAGUCGGACGGCAGCACAGUAAGAGCUUGCUCUUACGGGUGGCGAGUGGCGGACGGGUGAGGAAUACAUCGGAAUCUACUUUUUCGUGGGGGAUAACGUAGGGAAACUUACGCUAAUACCGCAUACGACCUACGGGUGAAAGCAGGGGAUCUUCGGACCUUGCGCGAUUGAAUGAGCCGAUGCCGGAUUAGCUAGUUGGCGGGGUAAAGGCCCACCAAGGCGACGAUCCGUAGCUGGUCUGAGAGGAUGAUCAGCCACACUGGAACUGAGACACGGUCCAGACUCCUACGGGAGGCAGCAGUGGGGAAUAUUGGACAAUGGGCGCAAGCCUGAUCCAGCCAUACCGCGUGGGUGAAGAAGGCCUUCGGGUUGUAAAGCCCUUUUGUUGGGAAAGAAAAGCAGCAGGUUAAUACCCCGCUGUUCUGACGGUACCCAAAGAAUAAGCACCGGCUAACUUCGUG